AUGGAGAAAUUUAGUAACCUUUCACCAAACUAUUACAUUAAUCUAACUUUCUCUUUUUCUCAGAUGAAUUUUGUUUCCAGCAGCUACCUUUCACCAGAGGAGAUCAAUUUUUCGGUAGCUAAGUGGCAUGGAAAGUCAAGCAAACCUAAACAUCUUCAUCAGUUUGAGGAGUGCUGGCAUGAGGAAGAAAACAGGAACGGCAGGCAGAAUGAUGAUCAUGAUAACGAUGAAGAUAAUGAUGAGAAAGAGAAUGACUGUGUCUACAUGUAUCGACCCACCAACGACAAUGUUUCCCCAGCCACCAGCAGUGGGCAAGGUUCUGCUAGCACAGCCAUCACUCUCUGCAUAGAGUCACAGAAUUCUGGAGGAUGUAGUAUUGAAGCAGAACAGACUGCUUUGAGUGGCAUUACACUCUCUCAGCUUCAACACAGUGAGGUCACAAAUAUCAUGCAAGAGGGUUUAAGUAAUUUGAGAGUAGAAAAACCAAACCCUUUCAAGUCGAAAGAAGCAGAAACGUCAGGAGGGCAGAUUAACAAGUCAGGAGGCACUUCUAUGAACAUCAACCUGUUCUCAGUGACACUGAAGUCUCUGCAACCCGAAGAGAACGUGAUGGAUGAAGUGAGUAAUGCUAAAGAGAUUAGCAGGCCUCUUUUACCUCUGUUGCCAAGAGAACUGGAGGAACAUGCACUUUGCUUUUCAAAGCCACAAACAGGAAUGGCCCCUUUAGUGGGACUUAAGACACACAUUCAGUCACAAAGAAACUCACAGACAGACGUACUGUCACAACUGAAAGACUCCUCUGAGAUGCAGUCAGAUCAAUUGGUCAAGCAUGACAGGACACAAACGGGAUAUAGGGCCAUGCACACAGGCAGAAUGAACCCAGAAAUUGACUGCUUAUUGGAUGAAGAGGAGGAGGAUUUCUCAGGUUACAUGGGACGAUAAAGCCGAAAGCCAGCACUAUUUUUCUUAAAUGUGUGCUGGGACUUUAAAGUGUCCUGGUAAGGGUACCCAUACAUCUACUCAUUGGCCACUUUCUGAGACCCACCUAACCUGUCAGUCGACAAUAUAGGUGUAAAAUUACUAACUGUAGUAAUGUGAUCGCAACAAUGAGAGAGAACAGCACAACAAUGAAUGAUUUUCACCUAAAUACUGGAGGAACGUAGACCUGUGAACGUGGGAACGAACCAAGUAUGAAAUUUCUGAACCAAUCCAACAUCUCUUCAAGGCAGAGCUCACAGUAGGGCACCCUGGUGUGCUCAUCAACAUUGUCUGAUGGACAACAAGCCUGCCGUUAGCUUGUGAAAGAGGGGUGUAUUUGUUUUGCUGUAAGAUCAAUAUCAACAAUCUUUCUCCAGUACUCACACUAUGCCCGGUUGCCUUGUACUGUGUCCAAGCACGAUUGUCCCCCUCCCCACUUCCCAACUGGCCUGUGCUCACAUUGUGCUUAAUGUUCCAGGACAAAAGUGAUCAUAUGUCAGGCAUCUUUUAUUGCACAUUUUAAAAUCCACUGGUCAAGUAGGAUGAGUGUUUUGUCAGGUUUUGUGGCUUAUUUGGAGUUAUUUUGGUUGCUCUGACUCAAUAUGCAAUGCAGAGAUGUUCUGUUAAUUGUAUUAAUUGUGCACAUAUAAAAAUUGUGCGGCUUUACUUGCCAACUACAUUUCAUGUUCUUCAAUAAGGUGCGAACCAGACCCAUUUUUAACCCAAAUUUUCUCCAAUUAAAUGAAAAGUGAGACAGUCGUAUCAUUGACAUCAUGUUUGAGUUGCAUGCUUGGGCAUGGUUAGCGAUCACACUAGGUACAUGCUGUGCCCAUAUCCAACUGAACGGUACAGUACAGAGCGAUCAUGCUAGUCAGCAAACUAAACUUUGGGGGUAAAACGUGCCUGGGUACAGUAGGGAUCACCAAGUGUGAGUACACUCUUACUGCGCCUUGUACAGUGCACAACUACAGUGAUUUUUUUUUUUCUUCAAUGUUUUACAAACUGUGCUGCACAAAAUUUAAAUAAACAGGCCUAAUUAUGCUCACUUUGAAAAUAAAUGUGUAGUCAGUACUGACGAUCCCUACGACAAGCUCAGAAAAGGGUAUUGUGAGUUAUCACGAGAACAGCAUAUCUCAUUUUGCCCACUGCUAGUGCAGACAUCUGUACACUAGUAAGGUGGAGCUACCAGCAACAAGGUUUUUAUAAUAAGGGGCCCUUGAGUGUAUUAUAUAUCUGAAGCAGUGCUCACUGAAUGUAUCUUUUGCCAAAUAAAGGCACUAGCCUUGUAGCCUUCCUGUGCCCUCUGCUGGUUAGAGCUGGCUUCUUUAUCUAAAUUAUUAAAUGGGACACUUGUUGCAAACAACGGACUGUAUUUAUAAUGCUAUAAGUAAUAGUUUAUUGUCUGGAUGUACAAUGAUACAUAAUAAAAAGUAGGUGCUGGGGCCAAUGAAUUGACCUAUCAAUGCUCUGCCCACAAAUAUGUUGUUUCUUAGAAUCGCAUCGAGUCUAUUUAUAAAUUUCUCAGUUUCAUGUAAAUACUAAUUCACAUUAAUCUGAUAGUGUUUAGAAGUGCUGCAUUCCCAAACUAGGUUGUAAAAAUUAAGACAGAACAUUUGCAACCAUGAUAAGGUUAGUAUUGAUUAUGCAACCAAAAGAAAAUCUAACAUCAUAUUCACACAAAUCAUUGUCUGUUAUUCUGACAGAAACUGAGAUCUAUGCUACAAUUUCUUGUUAGGUUGAAUGUGAUUUACAAUAUGUUGUAAAGCAUGUCCAGCCUCCAAGCGAAGCAUGGAUUGGUCAGUAAGUUAUGCUGUUUUUGCCUAUUGUUGAUAAAGAUAGACAUGCAUAACUCUAAGGCCUAGGUAAUGUGGCCAACAAGACUUCUCUGUAUCACUUAAAAUAACAUGUUUUUUUAUGUAUGUUUUUUAAUCUGAAUUUUUAACUCUUAAGAAACCAAAAGGCCUAUGAAUAUUCAGCAUGACAAAAACAGAACUUAUUAAUUAAAAAAUGUUUUGAGGACAACUGACCUCAUUCACUAAUUGUUCUUAAGGAGGAAAUUUGUAUUAUAGUCCACUUACACAGUUUUCAUGAAGAUUCAUUCAAGUUUCAUUCAUGUUUUCUUUGUUGGGAUUUGUUCUUACCUCAAAAAAAUCUAUGGACAAUCGACAGCAAAAAGUUGCGAAUAGUUCUGCAGUUUAAGAUUCAUGAAUCUCAACGUAGACUUUUUCUUAGGGGCUUUUCUCAAGAACAUAUUGUGGGGAAAAAAUUAAUGUGGUCCAUUGUAUUUUUAUUAUUUAGCCUUUUAACAUCACACAAUUAAAAUAUACAUAAUACGAAUACAAAGAGGGUAACAGGUACAUGGCACCAUUUAGUGUUCUGCACUUUUAGUGUAGCAGCUGUUCAGAGUUCAAGUCUUUGCUGCUAAUACUGGAUUGGGGAAUUGACUGAUGAAAAUGUUUUAUUGAACACACGCAUAUCGAUAACAAGCAUUGUGAUAAUUUUUUGUCAUUGACAUUAUGGCUUCAUAAUCCAGGCCUAAUUCAUAUUUAAUAGGACUUACCAUGUUUAAUAGGGCUUAUAAUAAUUUGUCCUGCCAUUAAAAAUUCAGAAAGGAACUCCUGAUUGCUGUCUCUUCUUCUUCUAAUUAUAAUAUUAAGCAUAAUACAAAAUAAAAAUUCUGCAAGUUCAACUGAAUGGGCCAUUUAAGGCCUGAAUUAUGGUUUUAUGUACUGUUUACUGAGUAGAAUCCAUUCAGUGGAUGUGGCGGGAGGCCUUUUCAUUGCAAAACCAUAGAGAUCCUCAGAUUCAAUGGGCAUAUGCAGAAAUUUUAGCUGGUGUUUAGUUAUAUAAAUAUUUGUGAUGUAAAGAUUAUGACAUCUAAUUAUGAAACAAAUGAAUGCGGUUAGAUUAAAUAAUUAUGAUUUCAAAGGAUUGUGAUCAGGCUAUUAUGCAACAAUUAGGACAUUCCUUAUCUUUACUAUCACUAAGAAUCAUUAGUGAGAGAAGAAGAAGGUAAUGAAAAUUUAAAACCUUGAAUCCGGUUUCUGGUCCUGGAUUUUGUAACAUUCUCUGUGCAGCCAUUUUAGUGCUUUAAGUGCUAUAAAACAGUCACUUAUACUUUGUUAAUCAGCUGUUAGUUAACUAGUUGAUAGUAUUUCAAAAUAAUGAAUUAGCAUCUUAAAAUAAUUAAAUACAUUAAGAUGACUCAGUAUACAAAAAUACAUCUACGUAAUAUAGCUAAACUCCGCAACAUACUCUCUCAUGCAGAUGCUGAGAAGCUGGUGCAUGCAUUCAUAACCUCUAGACUGGACUACUGCAAUGCUUUGUUGGCUGGAAGUUCAUGUAAAUCUUUGAAUAAGCUCCAGCUGGUUCAAAAUGCAGCUGCUAGGGUGCUCACCAGAGCUAGAAAAUUUGAUCAUAUUACACCAAUUCUCUCAUCCCUACAUUGGUUACCUGUUAAAUUCCGUAUAGACUAUAAAAUACUCCUUUUGACGUAUAAAUCUCUUAAAGGGCUGGCCCCGCAAUAUCUGGCGGAACUCCUUAUCCCUUAUAACCCGCCACGUACACUCCGCUCGCAAGAGGCCGGCUUAUUAUCAGUCCCGCGUAUUAGAAAAAACAACGCAUUAGGUAAAGCUUUCUCUUAUAAAGCUCCGCAACUUUGGAAUAAUCUCCCUAUUAAUAUACGGGACUCAGACACACUCUCAGUCUUUAAAUCCAGACUCAAAACAUUUCUUUUUGAACAAGCUUUUAGAUAAAUUUAUCAUAGCGGUUCUCUCUAGCUGUAGCCUGCAGCUAUUCUACUAUUGUCCAGUGCACACAAACUUAGUCUGUACUGUUGGUCUCCCUUUAACGAUUUCUCUUACAGCUCACACACCAAACACAAACCCUGUUCUAAUCAUUAUCUUUCUCUUUUUCCCCUCAUGUCCUGAGCUGCUGUCUGGUGGUGUCCAUCCAGGGUCCCUGUGCUUUUUCACAGGCGUGCCCCGCUCUUCAGCAUAGUAUAAAACCAUUCUAACCUCUUUUUCUUCCCUCCCACUCUGUUCUCUCUCUCUGUCUCUCUCGCAUGCGUCGAGAUGUUCGGUUGGCCUGUCUGGAGGUGCCGAUUCGUGUUUGCAGCACUCUGGAAUCGGCCCUGUCCCGCUCAACAGAGAUUAACACAACCCUUCUAACCUAUCUUUCUUCCCUCCCACUCCGUUCUCUCUCUCUAUCUCUCUCACAUGUGUCGAGAUGCCCCGUUGGCCUGUCUGGAGGUGCCCCAUUCGUGGUUCCAGCGUUCCAGCCAUCUUUUUGCACUCUCUUUGUACUGUUGUUCUUGUUUCUGUUCUGUUUCUUCUGUGCGGGUCGACCCACGGGGGUUGGGUUCCUCGGACUGAGCCUUGGUCCCUUCUAAGGUUUCUUCCUCUUAAAGGGAGUUUUUCCUUACCACUGUAGUCACCACAAAAUUGGCUUCACUGUGGUGAUGCUCAUAAGAGGCGUGGACCUGUUUUUUCUGUAAAGCUGCUUUGUGACAACCUUGUUGUAAAAAGCGCUAUAUAAAUAAACUUGAAUUGAAUUGAAUUGAAUGGCAUAGCAAGUCAGUUAGUAAUAGAAGGGCUAAUAUAAAAAGUACUGGAUUUUUAUUUAUAUAUUUAUUGUUAAUUUAAGUGGCAAGAAUGGCCUUUCAUAGAUGUUUUUCCUGUUUACAAACAUUACUGAGUGUGCAAAGCUGGGGGCCAAAACUGCUUUAGUAAACCAGCCAGUCACAAGAUUGUAAUGCUAGUCAACUGUUGUACUGUUUAUACAUACUCGGUGACUCAAUAAUAAAAUUCCAGUUUUCA
ensembl:lncRNA